rnacentral:rRNA from 1 species
AGUAACGCGUGGAUAACCUGCCUUACACUGGGGGAGUAACACUUAGAAAUAGGUGCUAAUACCGCAUAAGCGCACAGAGCCGCAUGGCUCAGUGUGAAAAACUCCGGUGGUGUAAGAUGGAUCCGCGUCUGAUUAGCUGGUUGGCGGGGUAGAAGCCCACCAAGGCGACGAUCAGUAGCCGGCCUGAGAGGGUGAACGGCCACAUUGGGACUGAGACACGGCCCAAACUCCUACGGAAGGCAGCAG